AGAACUAGGAUAGACAGUCGCCUAUUUGAAAUUUAAUUUUUCUAAAUUAUAUUAAAAUAAUAGGAGGAAAGUCCGGGCUCCAUAGGGCAAGGUGCCAGGUAACACCUGGGAAGUGUGAACUUACGACUAGUGCAACAGAGAGUAAACCGCCGAAGAUUAAUUAAUAAAAUCAGGCAAGGGUGAAAGGGUGCGGUAAGAGCGCACCGCGCGACUGGUAACAGUCGCGGCAAGGUAAACUCCACCUGGAGCAAGACCAAAUAGGAGCUUAUGUAAAGUAUGGCCCAUACUAAAAGAGCUCGGGUAGGUUGCUUGAACCAGUAAGUAAUUGCUGGUCUAGAUGAAUGACUGUCCACGACAGAACCCGGCUUAUUGAUCAGUUCUAAUU
rnacentral:RNase_P_RNA from 1 species